GUUGUAUGGUUAAGUGACUAAGCGUACACGGUGGAUGCCUUGGCAGUCAGAGGCGAUGAAAGACGUAGUAACUUGCGAUAAGCCCAGAUUAGGUAGUAACAACCAUUUGAGUCUGGGAUUUCUGAAUGGGGAAACCCACGUGCAUAAGCACGUAUCCUUACCUGAAUACAUAGGGUAAGGAGGCGAACCGGGGGAACUGAAACAUCUAAGUACCCCGAGGAAAAGAAAUCAACCGAGAUUCCGAAAGUAGCGGCGAGCGAAAUUGGACUAGCCCUUAAGCUUUACACGCGUUAGACGAACGGUCUGGAAAGUCCGACGAUACAGGGUGAUAGUCCCGUAGUUGACGACGUGUGUUCAGUGAAAUCGAGUAGGGCGGGACACGUGAUAUCCUGUCUGAAUAUGGGGGGACCAUCCUCCAAGGCUAAAUACUACUGACUGACCGAUAGUGAACCAGUACCGUGAGGGAAAGGCGAAAAGAACCCCUGUGAGGGGAGUGAAAUAGAACCUGAAACCGUGUACGUACAAGCAGUAGGAGCAGGCUUGUCCUGUGACUGCGUACCUUUUGUAUAAUGGGUCAGCGACUUAUAUUCAGUGGCAAGGUUAACCAUCUAGGGGAGCCGUAGGGAAACCGAGUCUUAACUGGGCGUUCAGUCUCUGGAUAUAGACCCGAAACCAGGUGAUCUAGCCAUGGGCAGGUUGAAGGUUGAGUAACAUCAACUGGAGGACCGAACCGACUAAUGUUGAAAAAUUAGCGGAUGACUUGUGGCUAGGGGUGAAAGGCCAAUCAAACCUGGAGAUAGCUGGUUCUCCCCGAAAGCUAUUUAGGUAGCGCCUCGGACGAAUACUACUGGGGGUAGAGCACUGUUAAGGCUAGGGGGUCAUCCCGACUUACCAACCCUUUGCAAACUCCGAAUACCAGUAAGUACUAUCCGGGAGACACACGGCGGGUGCUAACGUCCGUCGUGGAGAGGGAAACAACCCAGACCGCCAGCUAAGGUCCCAAAUUACUACUAAGUGGGAAACGAUGUGGGAAGGCUCAGACAGCCAGGAUGUUGGCUUAGAAGCAGCCAUCAUUUAAAGAAAGCGUAAUAGCUCACUGGUCGAGUCGGCCUGCGCGGAAGAUGUAACGGGGCUAAGUA
rnacentral:rRNA from 1 species